rnacentral:sRNA from 1 species
UUGGCCCGAAAGGUGAGUCUCAGGAUGAGACGAAUAGGCCUGCAGCAGGUUCGAGUCGAACGAAGUGAGACAACGGAGCCGCUUGCGGCGGCGACCCGAAGGGUGAGGCGAAGCCGAGUCAUCCUGCACGACCCACCC